UUUGGUUCGUGCGGUCAGGGGCGUGUUUCUGGUUCAAGGUGUCAUGGAUAGUGCACAGGAUGGGGGACCACCGGACCAGGGCAGUGACAUCCAGCUCCUACUGGUGGAGUCCCAGGGUUGCAUGUCAACAACUGUAUUUCUCCUCCCCUCAACCCCCACGAACUAUCUAUUCUGUUUCUGCAAUUUCAAUGGCUUAGUUUCAUGUGUCAGAUCAUUGUUGCCUGCGUAUUCCCGUCUCCACCACUGAAGACCAAUGGUGACUGCGGGCAGUAUUCAUGCUCUGGUGCAGGCUGAUUGUCCUCUUAUAUCAGGCUGAUGGUUGUUGCCCAAUUGGGCAAUGGUUGUCUCCUCUUAUACAAAACGUGAUGUGUGUUGAUCUUCUUAAAUAAUGCCGCUCAUACAUAUACUUCAAAUAUUGGUACAGACAAGAAUAGGAAAGCCUAUAGGUACAAAAUAGAUAGGAAAGCCUCUUUAAUUAUUUCAUUUCUAGGGUUUGAUGUCAAGGAGAUUCCUAUACCAAUGGUGACAGUGGGCAGUAUUCAUGCUCUGUUGCAUGUAUGCUUAUCCUCUCCACCCACUCUUUUCCAACUCUCUCCUGAUGUAGCCCAUUUUGAUGUUUAGAUCUCUCAAAUCCAUAUGCACUCUUGUUGUGCACUUUAGUGAUUAGGAAUCUAAUGUUUGAUCAAAUUAUAUCUUCAGUUUUUGUGCUCAUGGAGUGCUUGAUGAAUUGCUUGCAGGAAGCGGGGUUUAAUGAUGUACAAUUUUGGAGCUGCUGGUUUAAUUGUUCAAAUGGGAGCUUCAUAGGGAGAGUGGAUGUUUCAGAAUGGUGCGGACAGGUUGAGCAGCAAUAGAUGUUUUUUAAGUCCUAGGUGAGCACUCCAGGUUCUGUGAAUUUUCCCUUCAUAGUACUGCAGUAUUUUCAUACUUCAAGGAAAUAGAAAUAAUAUGGUUUCUCUCUCCCGGUUUGUUACUACCGAGAAUGGAACUCGAGAAGAGGUACUUUUGGUGUUGUCCUAUUACCUCCCGUAUCUAAUAGAUGACACAAAGUUAUCAGUUUAGUUGGCAAGAGCAAAAGUCCACAUCAAUUGUGAGGAUAUGAUGAUUGGCAUACUUACCCCCUGAUGAUGCCUCACUUCUUCAGAAUUUGAGGCUGUUCUUGAUAUGUCAGGUUUUGUGCUGUUUGCCUCUCGGGUAGGUCCCUGCAUGAAUCUUACCUUCGGCAGUGAGCUGAGAAAAUUAGCCCCACCUUUUUUUGCUGCCCUACUAUUCGAUGAAAUGCUUGUGCCCUGAUGGAUUCCGUUCUUUUUUUGUUGGUGUUCCUUCUCAUCCUGCCUGCUUUGCAAGUCUUUGUUUCACCUAUUGUCUCGGUUCAAUUGAUUGUCCAUGCCUUGGCACGUUCUGUGUAUGAUGUAAAUUCGGAACAAUGGAUUUGGUUUUCCGAACCAUAAAACUUAUGUAGCUUGAAUUAGCAGAUUGCACCAUGAAAAGACAUACUUUCCUUUAAAAAAUAAUGUGUAUCAGUACCUCUUUAGACCCUGCUGCUUGCGAUCUGAACCAGUAUAUACUUUUCUACAGUUUAGAUGUUAUAUCAGUUUGCAGAUGAAUUCGUGGCUAAUACCAGCAUUGUGAAUUUUUCAUGUUUGUCUUCCUUUAAACCACCAUAAAACUUAUCUAGCUUGAAUUAGCAGAUUGCACCAUGAAAAGACAUAUUGUCCUUUAAAAAUAAUGUGUAUUAGUACCUCUUUAGACCCUGCUGCUUGCGAUCUGAACCAGUAUAUACUUUUCUACAGUUUAGAUGUUAUAUCAGUUUGCAGAUGAAUUCGUGGCUAAUACCAGCAUUGUGAAUUUUUCAUGUUUGUCUUCCUUUAAACCUGAUGCAUGCAUGUGCAUGAUGCUCGUUGAUGACUAUUCCAUUUGUUUUACUGACCAAUUUUUGAGAGGGAGGGUGGAGGGAGUUGGCUCUUGUGUUUGUUGAUUGCUUUGCAGAUUUAUUGGUGUUUGGUUCAGAUAGAACAGCUCCAUUUGCAUUAGCAACUGUUUGUGGAGUCCCUCGCUGCUACAGAAUGGGGUGAAGAAUGCAAGGAAGUUGCCCAUUGUCUCUCGUCACCCGACCAAGGAUAGGUUUGACUGACAGAGGAAGUCAAUUGAGGAGUAUGUUGACACCAGAGUCCAAGACCAUGGGUGAAGCAUUUUAAUCAAUCUGUUGUUUUGGUAAGUUUCUUGCGUUCUUAGGAUUUAAAAUAACUGCAAGGAUUGUAGAGUUCUAAUGGUUGUGUUGGGUGUUUGCGGUGGCGAGGCUGAGCAGAUCAAACUGUACGCAUGGACCGUGACUAAUGGUGUGCCAGUGUGGUGGUGCCUGCCACACACUCACACAGGUUCUUGGUACUCUCUGUAACCUGUAGAUGAUGGGCGGCGAAUCCGGCAACCACAGAUCCAUUCUCCUGCAUAAUUUUCGUUUUUUCAUUUGAUUUGGUACAAGGCCUACUCAGAAUGGGUUCCCUGAUCUCAAAAUUGUCAGUUUUCUUGCCUUUAGUUUAUAGGUACCUUAACAAAUACAUGUAUUACCAUAUUGGCAGUCAGCACCAUGCGUCAUUCAUUCUUCAUGAUCUCAUAUUUGAGGUUAGCAGUUCGAAGUAAUGUAAGAGCUUGCAUGUUUAUAGUUCUAACUAACUUUUAGUUUAGCGUAGGAUAAGUCUUCCAUGAAUUCUUAGUUAGUUGUUUAUUUUUGCUGGCUGUGCAUGACACUGCAAUUUUUUCAUAAUUUCUUUAAAAGUUAACUAUUUUCUUAUCUACAAUUAACUGGUUGUUCCUCCUAGCCGUUAGCAAGUCUGUCGUCCCUGACCACCCUGUCAGCCAUCUAUACAACUGUGGUUCAUGCCUACGUGCUAUCCGCUCCUAAAUUCUCACACCAUGUCAGGUGUUUAGAAGUGAUGAUCAUUGUGGUCUUUAGUUGUCAUGGCUGUAAUCCUAGCGCAUGGGCUUUUGCGGGCUGGUCCAACCGGAGUUGGUUGAUGGCAGGGGCUCCGCUCCAGCUACCGUAUGGCUGAAGAAGGGAUGCAAAUGGUUUUACAGUGAAAAGCUGAAAAAGUUGUGACGGCGAUGAAAGGACUGAAAGAUUUGCUCGAAGCAAAGACAUCUAGCCGAGAUACAUAUGCAACGAAGAGGAGGGAUCUUAUGUAUAAUAUGCGACAUCCAUGGUGCUGAAGGAUUCGUCGCACGCCAAACAGAGCACCCGAGGAGAUGCUCUGAAGAGAGGAAAUGAUAUGUUUUUUUUUUGUUUUAAGAGAAGAUAGGAGUCGAUAUGUUGUCCCCUGACUUCUAUACUGAUCCACAACACUUCACAAAAGAGUAUAUAUCAAGAUAUGUAGUCCCCUGACUUCUAUACUAUUACUGAUCCACAACACUUCACAAAAGAGUAUAUAUCAACAUCGUAUGCUACAAAU
rnacentral:rRNA from 1 species